UCACCGUGAGCCCCGUCGCCCCUAGUCCUCCCCGGCGCCCUUUUCUCGUCUGGGUGGGCGCGGCACUCCACCCCGAACCGGCCGGUGCUCUCGCCUGAGCCUGGGACGGCCGGAGCUGCCCGCCCCAUCGCCGUUCUCCUCCCUGCCUCCCUCCUCUGUUUCCAUCGGGGCGCAGUGAGGAGGAGGAAGAAGACAGGAGCCUGACAGGCCCCAUCUCCUAGCGGCCCCACCUGUUGGCGGGUAGGCGUUGACCCCACUUGCCUAGCUGGAUAUGUGACGGGCCCCACCGCCCGUGGGACCCGCACAUCAGCGUCACACGCCUCGGUCCCGCCUCGGCUGACUGGAUUAAGUGGAGGCGUACUCGGUUGAGUACGUUUUCACCUUCGGGAAAGCGCAUUUUCCCUCUGCUUCAGCUCAAAGUACGCUUUCUUUUACUGAAAGCGUAUUUCCUCUCUGUUUCGGCCCAGAAUGCGUUUUCUUAAUCAGAAAGCGUAUUUCUUAAUUUGCGCCUCUGUCUUAUCCACUCAGGGACUUGUUUGUGAUGAUAUUUUUGCAGAAAAGUCCCUGAACUUCAACCCUUCAUAUCUUUUUAACCACAACUCCAAAUGAGGUGAUUCCAAAGCCCACUUCUUUGUCUCGCCGAGCCCGUUCUGCUGGUUUCAUUUUCACUAUGGUUUGACACUGUGAAAAUGACCUUUUUGCCCUUGCACGUAAACAGCCCCUCCGAAAGAGAACUGUUUCCGACAAGUCUUUCCGCGGCUUCACCGCACUUCUCCCCGGUGCCUUCUUCAUCCCCAGGCAAGCCAAAAUACCCACUUGCAUGAUAGUCAUGCAGUAGCCAUGGUUUUCAACUUGAAUAUUGAAUAAAUGUUUGCUUGUUUAAAAGAUGGUUAUCGUUGUUUCGGUAAUGCUUUUGGGUUAGUGCUUACUUUCUUGCUAUGUUGUCAUGCACCUAGUUGUCAUGCUCUGCUAGUUGCUAGUGUUCCUUCAUAUGCUUAUGCUUGCUAGUAGUACAUGUUGAUGUUGGUGAUGGUCUUCGGUGCAUGACAGCUAUCUGUCCGGAGUACUGUUCUUAUACAUGUUCUAUUGCAUACAGUUGGUUAAAUGCUUGCAUGAUAUCACUGUUGAUAUGUUCUUGCAUGGUAUUUAUUGUUGAUGCUAGUGGUCAUGUUAUGUUAUGAGUAGUGUUGCACUUGUAAUAUUUAUGCUCGUCAUUAUGCCAUGUUCAGCUGGAUAUGAUUCAUUGUUGAUAUGGUGGAUAGUUAUGUUGUACCCUCAUGAUUAUGUUGAUAUCAUGCUCAUGCAUUGUAAAUGCAUCAUGUUACUUUAUCAUGGCUCAGCAUAUUGCAUUCAAGUUAACCGGAUUUAAUUGAACUUGAACAACUGUUGACUGAGUCAUGGUGCCGCCAGAUCAAAACUGACCAGUGCAACCACACUUACCGUAUGGGUGAGGUCCUAACUGGGUCUAUUGUCAUGCAUCUCGCCGGUGCCUCCCACGAGGGAAGGUUAUGGGCGUGCUUACCCUGAUCAGGUAGGUAGACAUAACCUUGUGUGCUCGUUGUUUUUAGUUUUAUGGAUCCAGUCCCCGAGUGGGAGUGUUUUGACCACGACGGUGGUCGGGGUGUCUUUGGUAGACAUGGGGCCACGCAGGACUAGCCCGUUGGGGAUUUGGUCGGAGUGGCCGGGAGAAUGUCGCGGCAGUAGAUCGGUUUUGUCGGAACGCCGUUGGUCCACCCGAAUGGGAGUGCGAGGCCAUGGGUUCCGUGGUGUGGGUACAGUGUGCUAACCUCUGCAGAGUGUAUAUUAAAUCUAUCGAUAGCCGCGCCUGCGGAUAAGGGCCCAGUUCGUGUCGGUCCCACAGUGAGUCAACAGUAUUAAUAAUAACUUGAUUAAUAACAACCCCGGUUUGAUGAUGAGAUAAGUUGGUUGUGAUCGCCGGAAAGAUCACUGUUUGAGACCAAGUGUUGGUCAUGGUUGUGAUCGCCGGAAUGAUCACCGUGGUAUUGAGGAUACCGAGUUGUUGGAUGUUCGUGAUGUUGUGCGAGAAUCAUGGGUAAAGAUCAAGCUCCUUGUGGUCAUUUAAUGAUUACUACGGUAUUGUUUAUACCAAGCUUGAUUUGAUCCUGAGAUAAUCGUGUGAUGUCCGAGGUUGGUAAGUGAUGCGUGUGAUGGUUGCGAGAUAACCUGAGCAGAAUUAAUGGUGCAUGUAGUGUCAUCAUGUUGCAUGCUAGUAUCGUCGGAUUUAUAUGUAUAUGCUAUGCUCAUGUUGUUUUACCUGUAUCAUGUUCAUGUUGCCUUUGGAUUCUUAGUGGCUAUUAUGAUUAUUUUCAUGAUGGUACCUGGUAUUAUUUUGGGAGUAUUACUUUGGGUGUCAUGUUGUUCAGGUCAUGUUGUUAUGAGGAUCUCAUGUUAAUUCCUGCUUAACCUGUAAUUGCCAUGCUGUUGUUUGUCUUGAAUGCUUCUGGUUAAUUGUGAGCUUGCAAGUACGUUCAAUGUACUGACCUGGCGUGUCAUGCCAGCUUGCAGGUCGUGCCUGGAUUGCAUGCUUGUUUGCCAUGGAUUCUUUGUUUGCGAGCUAGGAUAAGCAUUCCAGCCGGAGUCCCUGCGGAUUGGAGUUCACCACCGUCGUCGUUGUUCCGCUGCUAGAGUUAUUCCGCUGCUUCGAGUUGUUCUGCUGCUUGCAUAGAGCAACUGAGGAUGGCGUAGUGUCGCCGUGCCGAUGUUAUUCAUUGUAAUAUCGGAGACCUUGUAUUCAUAUUCGUGAUAUAAUAGAAAGCUGGUUUGUUCUAUGCUAAGCAGUGCCGUAUUCCAGAAGACUUCUCCUCGAUCUCUAGGCUGGAAUACGGGGCGUUCCGGUUUUCUC
rnacentral:lncRNA from 1 species